AAUAAAUGACUCUAGUGGUAGCAUUUCAUGUAGGCAGGUCCAAGGAAGACAGAUUUGUAGACAGAGUUGGGAAAAGGGUCAAAGAGCCAAUGAGUCUCCCUAUCCUGAGGGAUGCCUUGACAGAGCCACAACAUGAACUCAUGUUUUCCUGAAUCCAUCUCAGUUCAUGUGACAGGAUGGAAAUGCUUCCUUUCUUAGCCAGUGUUGCUUGUAACGAGUUCCCUGCAGCUCAGGGAAGGGAGCAACAUGUACUGCUUUGUUGCUUCCUGUAUGGAGAAGGCAGGAAUGAGGAAGUUCAGAGAACACUGUCCUGAGCAGCUGCCACAGGAGACCCAGCCCAAGCUCUGCAUGCAGAAAGGCACAUGGCAAGAAAUACCCAUCCUGCACACGUGGAUGUGAUGGACACCCUCACUCCUUAAAUUUUGAGGCAACUAGACUGAAAAGGGCUCUUGCUUGAUUUAAACAAUUGAACUCUUCCUUUUGGCUCAGGCAUCUUGUUGCUUCUUGCACUGGCUUUGCCACUGACCUUGGAGAGCCGGUCAAAGUCUUGGAGGUGGAAACGAACUGCCAACUGAUUAACCAUUUUCCUUAAGGUAAGCACCUCUUCCUACUAGUGGACUCAUCUCAGAAGAUUUCAAAAACAAAAGUCUCAAGUGACGCGGAUAUUUCCACCUGGUUGUAGUGGGAUAGGCUGGAUUGAUGAUUUUUCACACUAAGCUCUGAGUGUUCCAAUGAGUUCCUUGGAAGUCUCUCAGGAUCAACAGGGCUCUGCUAAAGAAAGAUGCAAACUUUUGAUAAUCUACCCUUGAAGAAAAGCUCCUUGGAAUUUGGACCUACAGUUUGAAAAUUUGGCAUGCUACACCAACACUACAGUGACAAGGGAAAAAAUUGUUUGUGACAGAGAAAAAUUACCUGCAAUUUACAAUACCCAGCUGCCUCCAAAGGAGGUUCUUUGCUGAACAGAGUGAUGGGUAUGAGGAUGCAGGGUUAAGAGAGUUCACCAAAUUGUUCUGCAUUAGAAAAAUCCUGUUUAUUCAUUUAUUGUAGGAGGUAGGCAGGGGUGAGUCAGGGUGAAUGGAAAAUGAAUGAGAUCCAGAAGAACCAGGGAAAAUGUGGAGCCUUUGUGUGGCAAGAUUGAAGGGUGGGAAAGUGGCUAAGGGGAACUUUCUGAGGAGACCCCAGAUGUUAAACAGGAAUUUUUAUUAAAAUUUGCUAUGUGGUGCUCCAUAUAAUCCUUUCAUGCCUUUCUCCAUAAAACCUACAAUAAUGUCUAUAUUUCUUAUCACUAUUUUGAAGGAAAAUGAGUUUGUUCUUGGUGAGAAGUACAAGAACAAAUUGAAGCGUUAAGUCCCACUUCAAGGUGCUUGUGACCCCAGGACAGGGCUGCCUAUGAGGCCCAGGAACAUCUGGGUCCCAUUACUUAAAAAUCAGCAACCUCUCCUCUGGCUGAAGAUAUGCAUUAUUUUUAAAAAGCAGAAAGAAAGAACAAACACCUAGAAACCAUUGUCUUGGGGCCUAGGACAAUACGGCUCAGCUCUGAAGGAUAAAGGUAGAGUUUUACCAGCCAAAGGUACACAAAGUCCAAAAGACUGGCCUUAACUCAGUGAUGUAGUUUGGAUAUUUGUCCCUGCCCAACUCUCAUGUUGAAUUCUAAUUCCCAGUGCUGGAGGUGGGGCCUGGUGGGAGGUAUUUGGGUCAUGGGGGUGGAUUCCUCAUGGCUUGGUUCUGUCUUCAUGAUAGUGAAUGGGUUCGCAAGAUAUCUGGUCAUUUAAAAGUGUGCGGCACUCCCCUACUCUUCCUUUUGCUCUUGCUCUGGCCAUGUGACAUGGCUGCUCCCCCUUCACCUUCCACCAUGAUUGUAAGCUUCCUGUGGCCUCUCUAGAAGUCGAGUCGAUGCCAGCACCAUGCUUCCUGUACAGCCUGUAGAACUGUGAGCAAUUAAACCUCUUUUCUUUAUAAAUUGUCCACUCUCAGAUAUUUCUUUAUAGCAACGCAAGAAUGGCCUAACACACUCAGAACUUCUCUAUGUACCUCACAAAAUGGUUAUAAGGCCCUCAACUCUUAAACUUUCUGUUGUAAACAUUGUUGAUAUUGAGAAUAUUUACCUGAUGCUGCAAAAUUUGUGUGAAAAGUCAAAGAAUAAAAGUGUUUAAUAAAUCCCA